UACGUAGGGUGCAAGCGUUAAUCGGAAUUACUGGGCGUAAAGGGCGCGUAGGCGGCCUGAUAAGUCAGAUGUGAAAGCCCCGGGCUUAACCUGGGAAUUGCAUUUGAUACUGUCAGGCUAGAGAUCGAGAGAGGAAAGUGGAAUUACGAGUGUAGAAGUGAAAUUCGUAGAUAUUCGUAGGAACACCCGUGGCGAAGGCGACUUUCUGGCUCGAUACUGACGCUAAAGCGCGAAAGCGUGGGGAGCAAACAGG
rnacentral:rRNA from 1 species